rnacentral:rRNA from 1 species
GCCUGAUCUAGCCAUGCCGCGUGAGUGACGAAGGCCCUAGGGUCGUAAAGCUCUUUCGCCUGUGAAGAUAAUGACGGUAGCAGGUAAAGAAACCCCGGCUAACUCCGUGCCAGCAGCCGCGGUAAUACGGAGGGGGUUAGCGUUGUUCGGAAUUACUGGGCGUAAAGCGCGCGUAGGCGGACCAUCAAGUUGGGGGUGAAAUCCCGGGGCUCAACCCCGGAACUGCCUCCAAAACUGGCGGUCUGGAGUUCGAGAGAGGUGAGUGGAAUUCCGAGUGUAGAGGUGAAAUUCGUAGAUAUUCGGAGGAACACCAGUGGCGAAGGCGGCUCACUGGCUCGAUACUGACGCUGAGGUGCGAAAGUGUGGGGAGCAAACAGGAUUAGAUACCCUGGUAGUCCACACCGUAAACGAUGAAUGCCAGUCGUCGGCAAGCAUGCUUGUCGGUGACACACCUAACGGAUUAAGCAUUCCGCCUGGGGAGUACGGCCGCAAGGUUA